CCUACGGGGGGCAGCAGUGAGGAAUAUUGGUCAAUGGACGAGAGUCUGAACCAGCCAAGUAGCGUGAAGGAUGACUGCCCUAUGGGUUGUAAACUUCUUUUAUAUGGGAAUAAAAUGUUCCACGUGUGGGAUUUUGUAUGUACCAUAUGAAUAAGGAUCGGCUAACUCCGUGCCAGCAGCCGCGGUAAUACGGAGGAUCCGAGCGUUAUCCGGAUUUAUUGGGUUUAAAGGGAGCGUAGGUGGAUUGUUAAGUCAGUUGUGAAAGUUUGCGGCUCAACCGGAAAAUUGCAGUUGAAACUGGCAGUCUUGAGUACAGUAGAGGUGGGCGGAAUUCGUGGUGUAGCGGUGAAAUGCUUAGAUAUCACGAAGAACCCCGAUUGCGAAGGCAGUUCACUGGACUGCAACUGACACUGAGGCUCGAAAGUGUGGGUAUCAAACAGGAUUAGAUACCCCAGUAGUC
rnacentral:rRNA from 1 species